AUGGCGCCUGAACCCAGAAAACCACUGGUACCUCUUGAUUAUCCAACGGAUGAUAGUUUGGAGUCACCACACGCUAUGGACAUGUCAAUUGUGUUGGAAGAGGAAGAGCCAGUGAGUGUUACUGAAAUCCCAGACUGCCACGAGGACAUUCACACAUACCUCAGGGAGAUGGAGAUUACAUGUAAGCCUGAAGUGGGCUACAUGAAGAAGCAGCCGGCCAUCAACAACAGCAUGAGGGCUAUCCUUGUGGACUGGUUAGUGAAAGUAGAAGAGUAUAGACUACAGAAUGAGACCCUGCACUUGGCUGUGAACUACAUCGACAGGUUCCUUUCCUCCAUGUCUGUGCUGAGAGGAAAACUUCAGCUGGUGGGCACUGCUGCUAUGCUGUUAGCCUCAAAGUUUGAAGAAAUAUACCCCCCAAAGGUUGCAGAGUUUGUGUACAUUACAGAUUAUACCUACACCAAGAAACAAGUUCUGCGAAUGGAGCACCUCGUUCUGAGAGUCCUUUCUUUUGACUUAGCGGCACCAACUGUCAAUCAGUUCCUCACCCAGUACUUUCUGCACCAGCAGCCUUCCAACUGCAAAGUUGAAAGUUUAGCGAUGUUUCUGGGAGAGUUAAGUUUGAUAGAUGCUGACCCCUACCUUAAGUAUUUGCCAUCAGUUAUUGCCGGAGCGGCCUUUCAUCUAGCACUCUACACAGUCACAGGACAAAGCUGGCCUGAAUCCUUGGCACAGAAGACGGGCUACACCCUGGAGAGUCUGAAGCCCUGUCUCCUGGACCUGCACCAGACCUACCUCAGAGCGCCGCAGCACGCGCAGCAGUCCAUCAGAGAAAAGUACAAACAUUCCAAGUAUCAUGGUGUUUCUCUCCUCAUCCCAACAAAGACACUACCAUGUUCGACAAACCCCAGAGACUUUAAUACAAACAUCUUGGUAAAAACCCUCAUCCAACAAGCUAACUAUGACAACUGA